rnacentral:rRNA from 1 species
GGGUUGUAAACUUCUUUUAUAUUAGAAUAAAGUGCAGUAUGUAUACUGUUUUGUAUGUAUAAUAUGAAUAAGGAUCGGCUAACUCCGUGCCAGCAGCCGCGGUAAUACGGAGGAUCCGAGCGUUAUCCGGAUUUAUUGGGUUUAAAGGGAGCGUAGGUGGGCUGGUAAGUCAGUUGUGAAAGUUUGCGGCUCAACUGUAAAAUUGCAGUUGAUACUGUCAGUCUUGAGUACAGUAGAGGUGGGCGGAAUUCGUGGUGUAGCGGUGAAAUGCUUAGAUAUCACGAAGAACUCCGAUUGCGAAGGCAGCUCACUGGACUGCAACUGACACUGAUGCUCGAAAGUGUGGGUAUCAAACAGGAUUAGAUACCCUGGUAGUCCACACAGUAAA